UCUUUUUUCGGUUUAUCAACGUGGACUCGACACGCAGUCUUUCAUCGACUGUAGUCGCGUCAACGUCUACUGGUAGCUUAACUCCGAAUUCCUCAUUCUAUCACGACUUUUGAAACCGGUACAGAAAAAUGAUUUGCACUUGCGCUUGGGUGAUCGUGCUUCUCCUAUUUGUGUUGUUCGAUGUCAACUACUUCAUUAGAAUUGCGUUCACCGUCGGCACUGGCAGAAUCUUCAACAAGAAGAGGAAAAGUCUCCUGGAAGUCUCAACAAUUUACGGAAUAUGCACCUUCCAGGACAUCGAUAUAGCUCUGAAGCACAUGAACAAUGCUCGGUUCCUUCGAGAAUUGGACUUCGCGAGGUUUUAUUAUUGGGACAGCACAGCAUUAUAUGCAGGGAUCUGUAAAAGAGGCGGAAAUGCUGUGCAAGGUGCAUCGAUGACGCGGUACAGGAAGACUAUCGGGAUUUUUACACCGUUCAAGAUCACCACGAAGCUGAUCUACUGGGAUGACAAGAACAUCUACUUGGAGCACCAGUUCAUCAGCAUUCCCGAUGGCUUCGUCCGAGCUGUUGGCCUCAGUAAACAGACGACUUUUGGCCUGAAAGUUUCUGUCGAUGAAAUAUUGCAGGAACUGGAACCUGGCAUCGAAAAACCACAAAUGACAAAAGAGUUGCAAUUGUGGCUAGACACCAUGGAGGAAUCCUCUCAGAAACUAAAAAAGCGUAACUAAGCACCGUUUUCACCGUACAAUGCUCAGAAAUAUUUGAUUGUCAGAAAAGUAAACUUGGGAAGGUCAACCGUAGGUAACCUCGAAUGCUGGUACGAUUUCGGGAGACCCUUUGGAAGUGCUUAGUUUAUGACACGCCAGGGCUAUCGGGAAGGAUGAAACGAAAGGUUCGAUAUCGAAUAUUCGCCAAAUGUGAAAAUUGUCCUAAUCACAAAAAUAGCUCCUGGUCACGUCCAUGUCGUCAAGCUUACCGGCAAAGAUUUAAUGAAUUGUUUCUUCGCGAUGGAACCGGAUGCGAUGGUUAAUUGCACAGCGGUGGAGUUACCGUGGCCUUCGACAAUGCUACGCGAAUUCCUCCAAGUCGACCCUCGGUAGAAUGAAAAGAAAACAAUCUUAACACAUUGACAGCCGGCGACCUAAGAGACAUUUAAAGCCUGAGCGCCGGCAACGUAUCGGCCACUUAAAUCCCGAUCGCCGGUCUUAUUCGCUUGUUUCUGAUCACUGAAUAUAUUUUCGUAAAAUAGUA